AAGAAGAAAAGGAGGAGGAAUGAAUAGCUGGAGCUGGGUCGGGUGGGAAUUCCUGAAACUGGCACUGCCACUGAAUCCAUCCACUUGCAGACCGCAACCAGAGCCUAAAAGAUGAAAGCACCUUGGAAAACAGUGAAGACCCUCAGGACAACCUCUGUGGCCUGGAAUCAGCACCUUUUGCCAAGCGCGCUGCCACACAGACUUUACACCUUCAGCCUUGCUAUAUCUCCUCAAACCUUUAGAUAGUGUUGAUGAUGAUGAUGAUGACAUGUUCUCCUAUCUGCCUGGCCAACAUGGGACUGGAUUGUAUGGCAACCUCAGUUACCUGUGUUUCAUUAACUGAUAUCAGACCCUUGGAUCUGAGCCUCUUUGGAGGAAGUCAAAGAAUCCCUCAAACUGACUGGACUACUCCGCUUAGGGCAGUGCAUGAGAUGGAAGAGCCCAUUUUGUCGCUACGUUUGCAUAAGAUUGGUUCUGACUCCUGGUCUGGUUUUGUGUUUG
ensembl:lncRNA